AACAGAAAAACUGCUCUGUAGUUCCUUGUAGGAAGCUCCCCCUCAGACUCCUUGAGAUAUGUUAACUUGGAGAACACCUCCAUUCCCUAUCAUUCUGUUGUAACAAGUCUUCAAAGAGCUGCUUGCUUUCUUCAGCCACAGUAGAUGCCUCCUUGACUAGUCCCAGGAAGACAAUAUGACUAUUUCAGCUUCCAAGAGAAGUGAAUGAUGCAGGGAAGAGCCAAUUCAGCCAGGUGGCAGCAAUCUGGCUCUGGGCUUCCUGGCCUCUGACAGGGACGUGCAGGACGACCCUUGGAGAGAAAUGGGUCACUUCUGCGUCUUGUUAGAUGGACCGUUACACAGACUGAGAGGACGCUGAUUGCUGAAGGAGGCAGCCAGCCAAGUCUGUAGCUACCCACCUCUGAAUUUAUUGAAGACAGGGAAGAAAAGAACCCCAAGAGAGGAAUGUGAAUGCCAUAUUCUAAAAGGAAGUUCUAAUUGGCAAUGAGCAUGGAAAACUUACCUGGAAUUACAAUCAAGCUGGGCACAAGAGUACUACUGUCCCGUCCUAUUCCUCUACCUAGUCCAUGCUACUCAUCAAAGACAAAGAGUCUGGCAGGAAUAAAGAAGCUGCUAAACACAAGUCUUAAUAAACGGUAAAAUCAGCA
rnacentral:lncRNA from 1 species